CUGCUACCAACGCCGGUUGUGACGUAAUGUUUACCUCAUCCUCAGUGUUUUUUUCAGUGAGUGUUCGUGUUUUUUGGGAGUGUAGAAAAAUUAGAUAAUGGAUGAAGCUACGGCGGAAUUCCUUCGGCACAAUAAUUUAGCCGCUUAUCUGGCAGCUUUCGAAGGUAUGUACGAACCAUUUGAUUUAACCUCAGUUCUUGUGUCACUGUGAUCAGGCAUGGUAGGUUGAGGGCCUAUACCUACACAUGGUUUUAAGUUUAAGAAAUGUUGAUGAUUCACUCUUCAAGCGUAUGCAAAAUAUCAGCGGACUCUUCAUAAAAGUUAAUUAUCUGGCAGCUUUCGAAGGUAUGGACGAACCAUUUGAUUUAACCUCAGUUUUGUGUCACUGUGAUCAGGCAUGGUAGGUUGAGGGCCUAUACCUACACAUGAGGCUGGCAUCUCUGCCCUAGAACUACGGCUUCUUGACAAAGAGACAGCAAAGGAACUCAUACCCAAGUUGGGGGAUCGGCUUCGUUUUUUAAAUGCUUUGGAAGGCUUCCAAAAUCCUGAUGGUCUUAUUAAUAAUUUAAUGUGUCAGUUGAAGAGGUACCCGCUGAGACGAACGAAAUCAUUGACUCUCACAUUAAAUGGCUUAAUACUGCUCUUGAACCCUACUGUGAGAUCGAAAAACAAUGGGCUGCUACAUCGAAGGUUCGAUACACGUCCUUAUAUCAAAGCAAAGAGAAAAUCAGUGCUUACUUUAAAAGAUUUCCUGCUCUUACAUGCGGUUUUGGCUAUAAAUUGCUUGAAAUUGACUUUAAUAUUCGACACCCGGGAAAAGUAAUGCUCUCUUUGAAGUCUGGCCAGUCCUCUGCGCAAAUAUCCUGAGAAAAGCAGUGAGAAAAAUAGCGAGCGAUAGUGCAUUCAAGAAAUUCUGUCGCAGUGAAUUCCCAGGAUUCGAUGAAGUUGAUUCUUUCAGUAUGUACUUAUCUGCUGUGUAAUCUAUAUGACAGGGGUGCAGAAAAUGCUUCAGCCUAGAGGCGCUGAUCUGUUGAAUUUUUUUGCUCAUCGCUUAAUCUUGACAUUUUUGCGAGUGGUGAAAUUUUACCAUGAGUGAAGAAAUUUUGAGGCAGAGAUUGGGACUGAUUUUUGUGGAGGGGAACUUUCUGUACCUCUGCUAUCUCAUCUGUUUUAAGGCAAGAAUUUUUCACAGUGUUGCCACUGUGAGGGAAAAUUGGUAAUUAUUAAGGAAUUUUACAGUCUGAUAAAACCUGAAAAUGUCACGAAAAUAGACGGAAGUAUCUGGGAUAAAUUCUUGCUCCUUUUUCUUUACUUUUUAGAAUGUGUUCCAUGUUUCAAACAACAAAUGCAGCGUAAAGACUCUUCCAAAGUAUUGAUUUUAAAAAUCUCGUAUAUCCUUAAAUAUCAGGGAAUUUUAUGAAAAUUUAUCAGGGCAAUGUCAGUGAGUCUCAUUUUGAAAAUAUUGUCGCAACGCUGUUUCUAAGCGGACACUAAUUUUUAAAUGUAGGGGGCCACUACCCUUUAAACGCAUGAUGGUUUUCAAUUGGAACGCAUUUAGCAAAAUUAGGAACUAUAAUUUCGGGCUUAAAAUGUUCUUAGAGAAAUUAAUGGCACAUACGUCAUUUGUAAACUGAGCCAGAAAUUAUAGUUCCUGAUUUCAAAAUGCGGUCCAAUUAGUGUUUAUUAUGUUUUAUGUCAACACUUAUAGGUACCUCCAUAAAUGAA
rnacentral:lncRNA from 1 species